rnacentral:rRNA from 1 species
UACGUAGGGGGCAAGCGUUGUCCGGAAUUACUGGGCGUAAAGCGCGCGCAGGCGGCCUUUCAAGUCGGUGGUGAAAUCCCAGAGCUCAACUCUGGAAUUGCCAUCGAAACUGUAAGGCUUGGGUACGGGAGAGGUGAGUGGAAUUCCGAGUGUAGAGGUGAAAUUCGUAGAUAUUCGGAAGAACACCAGUGGCGAAGGCGGCUCACUGGCCCGUUACCGACGCUCAGGCGCGACAGCGUGGGGAGCAAACAGG